UGUAUUGCCUACGUAAAAUAACACAAUAUAAGGUUUCAGGAAGUAUAGAAGAAUUUGUGUUGAUAUAAAUUUUUGUAUAAGCCGUUUAUUACAACAAACAUUGAUAAAUAAAGAAUGGGAGAAAGUGUUCCAUUAUUUGUGAUACUUCCUAUACUUCUUGUCGUAAAAAUAAUGUUCUGGGUAGCUGUUUGUUAUUGGUGUUCAAAUAGAUCCAGAAGUUCACAAGGCACAAUUAUUCAACGAACAACAGCGAUUCGAGGGCCAGUUGAAAAUGGUACUACUGGUAUAGAAAACCCUGGAUAUAUGCAGCAGCCUCCAGCUUAUACCGACGAAACCGGUCCAAACUCAACACAAGCCUCGGUACCACCAUCAUACGAUCUAAUCACCAAGUCACCGUGCUUUGCAGAACAGUAUGAUCAGGAUACACCGCGUUAUUAGUGUAUUUAAGUUUGAUGAAUACGACUGUUGCUACUUGUUUUCAUUACUUACCAUCCACCUUUAUUCAAUUGCUUUUGCUUUUAAAUAAUGUAUUGUUAUAAUAUGUCAUCAUUAAUAUUUGUAGUUUCUAUUUAACAAUCAUGAAACAAAGUAAUACUCUACACAUAAUGAUUUUUUUAUAUAUAUUUUAGGGAAUAAGAUGAACAUAAAUUGACCAUUAAUUUUGUUUAAAGCAUUAAUUCUUUUGUGUGCAGCUUUAAAGUUUCAAUGAACAUAUGUUACAUACAGAAUUGACAUAAAGAUUAUUGAAAGAAAAUAGAAAGAAUAUUACAUAAAUAAAUACUGAUUUGAAAAUAAAAUGAAAAAGAAACAAUGUAUUUAAUAUUGUAUUUGAAUUUGCAAUUGAUAUUUAUUUACUCUACAUACCAUUUCAAUAUUAAAUUUUAUCAAUUAUCAAUAUUGUCAGAAAUGCGGUAUUGAAACAUGUUCUCUACAUAAAUGUGUACAAACACAAACUUA